CUCUCUUUCUCUCUCUCUCUCUCUCUCUCUCUCUCUCUCUGUGUGUGUGUGUGUGAGAGAGAGAGAGAGAGAGAGAGAGAGAGCU